CAGGACGAACGGCUGGCGGCGUGCCUAAUACAUGCAAGUCGAACGGUCUUUCUAUGGAAGCUUGCUUCCACUGAGAAGAUAGUGGCGAACGGGUGAGUAACACGUGGGUAACCUGCCCAUAAGAGGGGGAUAACAUCCGGAAACGGGUGCUAAUACCGCAUAGUUUUCUUGAUCGCAUGAUUGAGAAAGGAAAGACGGCCUUUGUGCUGUCGCUUAUGGAUGGACCCGCGGCGUAUUAGUUAGUUGGUGAGGUAACGGCUCACCAAGACGAUGAUACGUAGCCGACCUGAGAGGGUGAUCGGCCACAUUGGGACUGAGACACGGCCCAAACUCCUACGGGAGGCAGCAGUAGGGAAUCUUCCGCAAUGGACGAAAGUCUGACGGAGCAACGCCGCGUGAGUGAAGAAAAGGGUUUUCGGAUCGUAAAACUCUGUUGUCAGAGAAGAACAAGUUGGAGAGUAACUGCUCCAGCCUUGACGGUAUCUGACCAGAAAGCCACGGCUAACUACGUGCCAGCCGCCGC
rnacentral:rRNA from 1 species